UACGUAGGGUGCAAGCGUUGUCCGGAAUUAUUGGGCGUAAAGAGCUCGUAGGCGGCUUGUCGCGUCGUCCGUGAAAACCUGCGGCUCAACUGCAGGCUGGCGGUCGAUACGGGCAGGCUGGAGUUCGGUAGGGGAGACUGGAAUUCCUGGUGUAGCGGUGAAAUGCGUAGAUAUCAGGAGGAACACCUGUGGCGAAAGCGGCUCACUGGACCACAACUGACGCUGAUGCACGAAAGCUAGGGGAGCAAACAGG
rnacentral:rRNA from 1 species